ACCGAAUUGGUGUAGGGGUUAACAUGUGGGAUUCUCAGUCUUAAUGAUGAAGUUUCCCGAGCCAGGAGUUCGAGUCUCCUAUUCGGUG